UACGUAGGGUGCAAGCGUUAAUCGGAAUUACUGGGCGUAAAGCGUGCGCAGGCGGUGAUGUAAGACAGGUGUGAAAUCCCCGGGCUUAACCUGGGAACUGCAUUUGUGACUGCAUCGCUGGAGUGCGGCAGAGGGGGAUGGAAUUCCGCGUGUAGCAGUGAAAUGCGUAGAUAUGCGGAGGAACACCGAUGGCGAAGGCAAUCCCCUGGGCCUGCACUGACGCUCAUGCACGAAAGCGUGGG
rnacentral:rRNA from 1 species